rnacentral:rRNA from 1 species
GACGAACGCUGGCGGCGUGCCUAAUACAUGCAAGUCGAACGCAGGGGGGACGGGUGAGUAACACGUGGGUAACCUCCCAUAAGAGGGGGUAAAACUUGGAAACAGGUGCUAAACAGAUACUGGUGGAUGGACCCGGGGUGCAUUAGCUGGUUGGUGAGGUAAAGGCUCACCAAGGCCACGAUGCAUAGCCGGCCUGAGAGGAUGAUCGGCCACACUGGGACUGAGACACGGCCCAGACUCCUACGGGAGGCAGCAGUGGGGAAUCUUCGGCAAUGGGCGAAAGCCUGACGGAGCAAUGCCGCGUGUGUGAAGAAGGUUUUCGGGUCGUAAAGUUCUGUUAGUAGAGAAGCGUUAUCGAACCAGAAAGCCCCGGCUAACUACGUGCCAGCAGCCGCGGUAAUUC